AUUGAACGCUGGCGGCAUGCCUUACACAUGCAAGUCGAACGGUAACAGGGAGCUUGCUCCGCUGACGAGUGGCGAACGGGUGAGUAAUGUAUCGGAACGUACCUUUUAGUGGGGGAUAACGUAGCGAAAGUUACGCUAAUACCGCAUAUUCUCUGAGGAGGAAAGCAGGGGACCUUCGGGCCUUGCGCUAAUAGAGCGGCUGAUAUCAGAUUAGCUAGUUGGUGAGGUAAAGGCUCACCAAGGCGACGAUCUGUAGCGGGUCUGAGAGGAUGAUCCGCCACACUGGAACUGAGACACGGUCCAGACUCCUACGGGAGGCAGCAGUGGGGAAUUUUGGACAAUGGGGGCAACCCUGAUCCAGCCAUGCCGCGUGAGCGAAGAAGGCCUUCGGGUUGUAAAGCUCUUUUGUUGGGGAAGAAAUGGUUUGGGUUAAUACCCUGAAUCGAUGACGGUACCUGAAGAAUAAGCACCGGCUAACUACGUGCCAGCCGCCGCUGUAACAC
rnacentral:rRNA from 1 species